GAUGAACGCUAGCGGCAGGCUUAAUACAUGCAAGUCGAGGGGCAGCAGGACUGUAGCAAUACAGUUGCUGGCGACCGGCAAACGGGUGCGGAACACGUACGCAACCUACCCAAAACUGGGGGAUAGCCCGGGGAAACCCGGAUUAAUACCUCGUAACCUUUUUAAGUGGCAUCACUUGAUAAGUAUAGCUCCGGCGGUUUUGGAUGGGCGUGCGCCUGAUUAGGUAGUUGGUGCGGGUAACGGCCCACCAAGCCUGCGAUCAGUAACUGGUGUGAGAGCACGACCAGUCACACGGGCACUGAGACACGGGCCCGACUCCUACGGGAGGCAGCAGUAAGGAAUAUUGGUCAAAGGACGCAAGUCUGAACCAGCCAUGCCGCGUGAAGGAUGAAGGUCCUCUGGAUUGUAAACUUCUUUUAUGGGGGACGAAACCCGGAUAUUCUUAUCCGAUUGACGGUACCUCAGGAAUAAGCACCGGCUAACUCCGUG
rnacentral:rRNA from 1 species